CUUACUCUGGGUACCAUCCUUGGAAUGAGGGGAAGUGCCCGGUGGGUUUCCCCGGGAAAU
rfam:Picea glauca, whole genome shotgun sequence.